UAGGGAAUCUUCGGCAAUGGGGGGAACCCUGACCGAGCAACGCCGCGUGAGUGAAGAAGGUUUUCGGAUCGUAAAGCUCUGUUGUUAAGGAAGAACGAGUGUGAGAAUGGAAAGUUCAUGCUGUUACGGUACUUAACCAGAAAGGGACGGCUAAUUACGUGCCAGCAGCCGCGGUAAUACGUAGGUCCCGAGCGUUGUCCGGCUUUAUUGGGCGUAAAGCGAGCGCAGGCGGUUAGAAAAGUCUGAAGUGAAAGGCAGUGGCUCAACCAUUGUAGGCUUUGGAAACUGUUUAACUUGAGUGCAGAAGGGGAGAGUGGAAUUCCAUGUGUAGCGGUGAAAUGCGUAGAUAUAUGGAGGAACACCGGUGGCGAAAGCGGCUCUCUGGUCUGUAACUGACGCGGAGGCUCGAAAGCGUGGGGAGCGAACAGG
rnacentral:rRNA from 1 species